CACCCAUUAUGCCCCGCUUCAACAUUAUUUGUGGGUCCUCAUCUAUGAAUUAUUUACAGUACAUUUUCCGUAUUUUUAAUCCGAGCGGGACUUUCGCGGCACUUGAAACGUUAACGUUUCCCUCGCUUUGACCCUCCCCCCCGCUCCACUGUGUGUGUCUGUUGUGUGAACAAGCAAAAGUUUAACGUUAAUCUCCUCCUGCUCCGCUUUGUGUAAAAGAUUUCAAACAGCAGUUGGACGUCUCAGAAGACACCAAAGAAAGCCAUGGAGUCUUGCUAGCCUUUACACCACCUUACUACUGGUACAUUAAUGGGAUACCAUGCUAUUUUUUUGCUUGCUCUCACUAUGAUAUUUAAUUGUGUUAUCUGCGAGUUUAGAAAUGCCUCAGUUUCUGAAUAUGUAAAACAUUGUAGAACCCAUAGAAACAUUUACAGGGGCAUUUUUCCCUGUGGGUUUCCAGACUGCGGAAGAAGCUUUUCCUCUUACAAUUCUUUUAAUGUGCACUUGUCCAGAUUUCACCAUGAGGGGAGGAAGCUAUCUUUUAAUCGUAACGUAUCUGUGCAGUUCAAGUGUUCUUGGGAGUUUUGUGGCAAAGAAUGUGGAAGCAUAAAAUGUCUUGUAGCUCACCGUAAGUGUCAUUUGCAAGAGGGUCUUGAGGUGACAUGUCCUUAUAGUGGCUGUGCAAAGACUUUUAAAGUCAUAUCCUCUUUAACAUCACAUUUAUCAAGAUGUCACAAGCAGUGUGAUGUUACACACAUUGAUAAAAGUUAUAUCAGGGAAACAAUAGAGUAUGCAACUGCUCGUUUGGAUAAUGCAUCAGACAUUGAUAGUGAAGUACAAACAGUGCAGCAAGAUGGAGAGUCUGACUCUGGGUCAGCCCAGGAUAAAUUCACUGAAAACAUGGCUCUUUUUUUUCUUGGCUUACAAGCAAAGUAUCUGGUCCCUGCUUCUACAGUCUCGGAGAUUGCAAGUGAAAUGAGAUUACUACUAUAAAUGAAGAAAUGAAGGAAGAUACAAGAUUUCAGUGGAUGAAGUUACAGUUAACAUCGUUGGCUGUCCACUAGUUGCUGUGAGCUAUAUGUUCAGCCUAUAUUAUGUGCUGAACAUAAAGUAUCCAAAGGGAGCAGCCCUGACUCUGGAGUUCAUUCAGAUGUGCCUGCUAGGGAUAAACCCAGAACGGGGCACGAAAGCAGAAAAGGGGGGGAAACAGUACAGCGUCCCCCCAAAACUGCUUAGAUUCCUGUCGGACCUUAAUGACUUCAACAAUCCGUGGAAGAUUUAAAGCAGAAGAAGCAUCUUAAAUGGAGAGAAAGGAGAGGGAUGUGUGUCUGUGUAUCUAUGGAGGACAACAGUGGGGUAUUCACUUUUUUUAAAUGAGGACCAUUUUGCAAAGUGAGGACAUUUAAGCAGGCCUCACUUUUUUUUCACUGUAAUUACAUGCUGCGUUCAAGUUUUCAGCGAGAUUCUCAGAAAGGUGAAAAAAUCUGUUACUGUGCAUCUACGCCUGUGUACGUACUCUACGUGCUCUCUGUUGCCCUCUUCUGAUAUGGAUUUAUUGCACUGGAGCAACUAAAACUACAGAAAGACAUGUCACAUGGUUUGAGUAGGUGAAAUGAAAUGCAUAUUUAGAGAUGCACCGAUUUCAACUUUGUAGGCUGAUUCUGAUUUCCGAUUUUUCCUUGAGUUUGACCUGCUGAUACCGAUUUUAGCCGAUUCCGAUUUUAGCCAAUUCUGAUUUCAUAUUUUCUAACCACUUUACACCACACACAAAUGUUUAUUUUCUAUCUUUUCUUUAAUAGAACAUGUGUUGAACAGAUA